UGUAAGAGUGCAGAGGAGUCGUUUAGUG
rnacentral:sRNA from 1 species